CCUGGUUGAUUGCAGCCCGUUCCGGUCUUGCACGAGCAGCUGCAUUGACAGUUCGUCCCGCAGGGUGCACCAUCUCCGCAGCAAGUGGUGCACUGGCAAUUUGCUAGAAACAGAAAUGAAUUUGGUUUACGGACAUUGUACUGUAUUUUCUCAACGAGGUUAGGUAAAGUGGAACCGGGUAAAAUCAC